rnacentral:lncRNA from 1 species
AAGCAGUAGUAUGGUCUUAUGGGAAUUGCAUACCAGGUAAAGUGGUUCCAGUCAUUGUUCUCUAAGCAGUAUUUCCACACACACCCCCACUAAAAGUUUUCCAGGUUAUAAGAAGUCAGUUAGAUGGCAUUAAUAGAGGGAAAAUUGUUUAAAAAGAAAGCCUAAGAGAUUAAUUCACUCUCUUUCCUUGUUUAUAGGCAAUCAAAAAUCUAACAUGAUUAUAAGGUAUUCAAGGGGAUGAAAAGCACACAACUUCUUAAAAAAGCCCUUUGCAGGUGAAAGACAAUUGUAAUUCCUUGCAACCAAAGUUACCUGCAGCACAGGUCACUUGUCAGAGUUCGUAACUGCCAUCUUCCUCUGCAUCUCCAGGACAAACUUUCCAUUGCAGUGGUCUUCUCAAUAUCUAAGAGAAGUUGGUGAAUAAGUUGAAAGCUCUUCUCAGUGUAGAAUAACAGCUGGGAACUAGGAAGAGAUCCAGUGUCAUGGGCCGUCCAUUGUCUGUAGGCACCAGCUGGCUCAUGAUCAAAAUGUGGGGCCCCCUGCUGAAAUUCCUGUGGUAACAAGAUCAAGUUCAUGCAGGAUGAUGUGUACUUCCAAAUUUAGCACUUACACAGUAGGAAAGAAUUAUUUUUGAGCUUUUCAGUUCUCUCCAUUGAUUUGAAGGAGGAGAAAAAUAAUGGACCACUUCCCAUCCAUUCUGAAAAGCUGGUGAGAUAUAUACUUAUUCAUCAAUAUACUUGAUUGCUGGUCCUGUCAGUAUGAACGUCUAUUGCAUUUUUCAAAACUGCUACAAACUGGUUAAGUUGUAAGUUCAGUCAAAUUUGUUAAAAUAUUUCUUGUAUCUUCAUAUUUUCUGUAACAUUACUUUCUGUAUUGGAAAUGAUUCAAGAGUGG